GAUGAACGCUGGCGGCGUGCCUAAUACAUGCAAGUCGAGCGAACAGACGAGGAGCUUGCUCCUCUGACGUUAGCGGCGGACGGGUGAGUAACACGUGGAUAACCUACCUAUAAGACUGGGAUAACUUCGGGAAACCGGAGCUAAUACCGGAUAAUAUAUUGAACCGCAUGGUUCAAUAGUGAAAGACGGUUUUGCUGUCACUUAUAGAUGGAUCCGCGCCGCAUUAGCUAGUUGGUAAGGUAACGGCUUACCAAGGCAACGAUGCGUAGCCGACCUGAGAGGGUGAUCGGCCACACUGGAGCUGAGACAGGGUCCAGACUCCUACGGGAGGCAGCAGUAGGGAAUCUUCCGCAAUGGGCGAAAGCUUGACGGAGCAACGCCGCGUGAGUGAUGAAGGUCUUCGGAUCGUAAAACUCUGUUAUUAGGGAAGAACAAAUGUGUAAGUAACUAUGCACGUCUUGACGGUACCUAAUCAGAAAGCCACGGCUAACUACGUG
rnacentral:rRNA from 1 species